CCGUGAAUAGUUUGAUUAUGACUCAUGAAGUCGCGUGGGGAACCUGCCUGUUUUACUGGUAUAACUCCGGGAAACCGGGGCUAAUACCGGAUGGUUGUUUGAACCGCAUGGUUCAGACAUAAAAGGUGGCUUCGGCUACCACUUACAGAUGGACCCGCGGCGCAUUAGCUAGUUGGUGAGGUAACGGCUCACCAAGGCAACGAUGCGUAGCCGACCUGAGAGGGUGAUCGGCCACACUGGGACUGAGACACGGCCCAGAYUCCUACGGGAGGCAGCAGUAGGGAAUCUUCCGCAAUGGACGAAAGUCUGACGGAGCAACGCCGCGUGAGUGAUGAAGGUUUUCGGAUCGUAAAGCUCUGUUGUUAGGGAAGAACAAGUGCCGUUCAAAUAGGGCGGCACCUUGACGGUACCUAACCAGAAAGCCACGGCUAACUACGUGCCAGCAGCCGCGGUAAUACGUAGGUGGCAAGCGUUGUCCGGAAUUAUUGGGCGUAAAGGGCUCGCAGGCGGUUUCUUAAGUCUGAUGUGAAAGCCCCCGGCUCAACCGGGGAGGGUCAUUGGAAACUGGGGAACUUGAGUGCAGAAGAGGAGAGUGGAAUUCCACGUGUAGCGGUGAAAUGCGUAGAGAUGUGGAGGAACACCAGUGGCGAAGGCGACUCUCUGGUCUGUAACUGACGCUGAGGAGCGAAAGCGUGGGGAGCGAACAGGAUUAGAUACCCUGGUAGUCCACGCCGUAAACGAUGAGUGCUAAGUGUUAGGGGGUUUCCGCCCCUUAGUGCUGCAGCUAACGCAUUAAGCACUCCGCCUGGGGAGUACGGUCGCAAGACUGAAACUCAAAGGAAUUGACGGGGGCCCGCACAAGCGGUGGAGCAUGUGGUUUAAUUCGAAGCAACGCGAAGAACCUUACCAGGUCUUGACAUCCUCUGACAAUCCUAGAGAUAGGACGUCCCCUUCGGGGGCAGAGUGACAGGUGGUGCAUGGUUGUCGUCAGCUCGUGUCGUGAGAUGUUGGGNUUAAGUCCCGCAACGAGCGCAACCCUUGAUCUUAGUUGCCAGCAUUCAGUUGGGCACUCUAAGGUGACUGCCGGUGACAAACCGGAGGAAGGUGGGGAUGACGUCAAAUCAUCAUGCCCCUUAUGACCUGGGCUACACACGUGCUACAAUGGGCAGAACAAAGGGCAGCGAAACCGCGAGGUUAAGCCAAUCCCACAAAUCUGUUCUCAGUUCGGAUCGCAGUCUGCAACUCGACUGCGUGAAGCAGGAAUCGCUAGUAAUCGCGGAUCAGCAUGCCGCGGUGAAUACGUUCCCGGGCCUGGUACACACCGCCCCUCUCACCA
rnacentral:rRNA from 1 species